ensembl:lncRNA
UUUUUUUUUCACUGGAGCAUCCAGUCCUGGCAAAUGCAUAAGGUCAGCCCUUGGAAGAGCAAAACGCUGUCUCCAAGAAAACCAAAUGAGUGGCUUAAAUCUGUCCAUUUGUCUGCCUGUUUUUUGGCCUUGGGAUUACUGUGCUUUUCAAAGCUAUGCUUUCAUAACUUGGAUAAAAAGGUAAAUGUUUCAUAUAGCCCUGCAAGUAGUAAUCAUCCUUUUCAUGCAAAAAACCUGCUGCCUGAGGGAUGGGCCCAAACCAGAGGUGUUUCUCAUUUACCUACAAAGUGUCUGGCUUUAGCAUCUGUAGUCAGUUUUUGUGAACAUGUGAGUCCAUUGCCUGCUCUAACAGAGUUAGUGACUUACUUUCAGUGGUUGUAGAGAGUUUCACUGAAAUAGCACUGUUUGUAGUCCAUUGUGUGACUUAGGAGACACAAAAGCCAGAAAAUUCUGCAAUUGUAAUAUAACUGUACGUGGCGUUCCCAGAAAAUGCUCUGAAGUCUUCUCCCGUUGCACCAUGGUGAUAAAAACCACUGCUGCUUUUCAAGCUCCACGAGGCCAUGCUGUGCUGUGCUGAAAGGGAUAGAAAAGCCAAUUAGCUCUGAAAAGUGAAGGGCAGAGAGGAGUGCUCUGGCCUGGAAUUCCCUCCCUUUGGCAGCAGCAAAGGUCAGCUGUGCAGCCAAAUUUCAGUGACCACAUGUGGAUCCAGCUUGUGUGUGUUGCCAGCUAUCUGCACAGGGAGUGGGAGAGAGUGGGGAGGAAGAAUUGAUUCUGGAAGGGGAAAGCCUGAGUUAAAGGGAAAAGUGGAGUGAAAUGUGACAGCUGGGAUUUCCAGAAGGUAGUUUGAUGGAUGCUGGGCAUCCAGCUUCCCUAGAACUCUUUAUCAGUAAUACCCUCUAUAUCUCCCUGAGUGACUUUUAGCCUGUCUGGCAGUUUUCAGCAUCAGUGUGUGAGGGAAAAGAGGUGGAAGGCAGUUCUCUCUGAUUUGGCAGCUCUGGGACUUUGUGCUGCUGGCUGAGGGUCUGGAUUUCUCAGGAACUUCCUGGCUACCUGUGGCUCCCACAGGCUUGUAGGACUGGGCUUAGAGAAACCCUGAGCUGCCAGAUGUCUGCUUUUGGUGCAGCUCUUCUGAAUAGUCCUGGGUGUGGAUGUGAGCCUGCAGUCCUUGGGAGGCAAAAUUCACAAUCCCAAGGGACUUGCUCUAUCUGUCAGUGCAGGCCAGCUGUGGGAAUCCUCCAAGUCCCUUUAUCCUGAUCUGUGUGUCAAGCCCCUGUGGCUGACCCGAGCUGCCAUGGACCCUUCUUGCAAGGGCAAUUAUUUUCAGAGUCAGUGUAGGUGAUGGCUACCUUUGGAAAAGUGUGAAUACCCUGGGGAAAUCCAUGGGGCAGACACCUUGGGCCAUACUGUGUGCUGACACCAUCAGCAGGCAUGAUACAGAGGUGCUUUGCUUUUGGUGUGAAACCUUGCUCUGAUGCAUCAUUCCAAGGAAAACAGCUGGAAUUUGCAGAGCAGGUCAGAGAUGAGUAAUUCCAGCUCCCUUACUGGACCUGAUUUAUACAGCUCAGGUCCAAUAGUUCUGAGAAAUUGUUGAUGGUGGGAGCCUUUCUGUUUGUUUCUCUGAAAACUUGAAGCCUUUCAAAUAAAGAACAAAUGAGGUGUAGGGAAUUUUUAGCUGGGGUAUGUGCUUCAGGGUGUUUGCUGCAUUCAGGCUUCCAGAACACAAAUUCUCUGCAGACAAUCCCACACACAGUGGGAAAAAAGGAUAUUGGGCUUGGAAGUGUACCAGGGAGAUGGGACUCAAGUGAGCUUUGAACAGCAAUCAUUGUCAUUAGUGGUGGUGCUGUAAUAUGUGCUUGACUCAAAUCCAGCAUUGCACAGGCAAGAACCUGGUGAAACCUUGUAACUUGAUAUUUGUGGUUGUGAUCCGCUGUUGAAUAGGCUAGACAUGAAUAAAAUCAGUAUUUU